rnacentral:rRNA from 1 species
UAUAAGCGAUACUCCACGAUCAACCUUACCACCCUUUGCCAUCAGCCUAUAUACCGCCGUCGCCAGCUUACCUUGUGAAAGCCAAAAAGUAAGCGAAAUAGC